rnacentral:hammerhead_ribozyme from 1 species
AUCCAGCUGACGAGUCCCAGGUAGGACGAAAUACCCAUCCUGAAU